rnacentral:miRNA from 1 species
GAGAAACAGUGACUGGGGUUA